AAUAAGGGAGUCAUCCUUAAAUUUCCUUCCAGGAGAAAAGAAAAAUGGAGUCCUGCACCCAUCACUGCCUGUCUACCAUCUGUCAGUUGCUACACGACCAAGGUGACAAAGAGACACACACUCUUGUUUUGAUACAAGCCUGCCUUUUGGAACCCACAGCGUGAACAAUUCUCCUCCCAUCUGACAGCUCUUCAACUCCUUGAGGGCAGCUGCUCUUCCCUCUCCUCUUAAUUCUCCUCUUCUCCAGGGUAGAAGCACAGUAAGACUUGACAUCACACCUGUCCUUCCAUCGCCUCUCCAUGUUCCUCUGUGUGGAUAAUUUUCGGGUGCACAAAGAGAAGGAAGAAACUGCUACCUCCUGUGGAUUUCCCUGCUGGCUGAAGAGUCUUCUCCUAGAAGUUUUGCAGCAGGUUAUCCCUUAAGAUCCAUUAGCUGGAACCCUGCCACAUCCUGAUGUAGGCAUGGAUUAUUGGCAAAGGUAGGGGUCUUCCAUGACUGGUUUAAAGGAAUAAGGAUGCCUUCCCCAUGCCUGGGGGCAACUCUUCUCUGAAGCACAUGGCCCAGCAGAGGAGGGUUGGUAACUGAAAAGAAUCAGAUUUUUGUUUGAACUGCGGAGUGGAGAGAGGAAUGGGUGCUGUCACCUUACCCCUGGUCACUGCUGAAACAACCCACCUCUCAGCCAACAAUUUCAGCGGCCCUACUCACCAAACGCCCUUCGUUCCUUAGAGAACCACUGAAGCAGGAGCCUCCCGGCAACAGCGAAGAACCCUUAAAAAAAACUCACAUCACGUCAUUUCCAUCCCAUCCCAUAAGCUUACAUCCUGUAUCCACAUUUGCCUUUGUCCGCUGCACGACUGACUAAAGAAUUGCCCAAAUUAACACCCUCAUAUAAACCCCUAGAAGAAUUUCCUCUUGAAGUUUAUCUAAACCCAGCCUCUGCACAGAGUUCAGAGAUUUGGACUCAUUACACCAGCUGCCGUUGGUACAAAUAAUCCAGUCCUAUUCCAUAAAUAUUUAUUGAAUUAUUACUGCAAACUCAGAACUGUGCUAGGAGAUAUCAAAAGUUCUAACAUCAUUUUGAUGCUCAAAGAGUUUAUAACAUCAUCAGCAUACUUCCUCUUCAGAGAGUGAAACUUAUGGAACUGAAGAACUCUUUCCCUUUGUAAAAAGUCUUAAUUGACAGUUCUUUGAAACAAACUAUAAAGAAAAGGAAGGGAUAUAAGCUCCAUUUACAAACAGCUGCCAAACCCUACUUUUCUUAGAAAGAUCCCUCAGGAAUGAGUCCAUUAUACCACACUGUCAGCUUUUUGCCAUCCCCAUAAUACAACAACCAGGAGAAAGAUGAACAAAUAUUUACCGUGAAUAUUAGCCAUUUGUUUUCAUUUGCUGCCCUUUCAAUUCACUUGCUGUGUUUUAAAACUUUUAGGUUAUUUCAACAGUGCAUGAAGAAAACAUUUAUGUAUUUACACUAGAUAUAAAUAUUUUAUUUAAAAUCAUUUCGUUAGCUGAUCCAAACUCUCAUGUCCUCAACCUACCACAUAGAAACUCUUUUACGGAACAAAAAACAAUUGUGAUUUUGUGAUGAUCAUUCAGCCUUCAUGCAGUUUUAUCGUUGGCACUUGGACUUUCUAUUUCUAUGCUAUUGUUUAUUUGUGUGUGUAUCAGUCAAACUAGAGAUGUAGUGAAUUUCCAUUACGUAUUUCACGAUAUGAAUGCAUGAAUGAUUGACUGAUGAAUGAGAGAAAAAGCUAGUCUUCUCGCUUUUUUUCAAAGUUGAAGCUACUUUUUUUUUUCAUUGCAAAGAGCUAACAAUGGCCAUGGUAUUUUACUAACUUUGUAUUGUCAGUAUUCUUUCUCAGAAAGCAGUGUUAAAUGAUUGCUAUUCACAAUAAUAAAGAAAAAGAUAUCAUGUCAGGGACAUACAUUAUCCAUAUAUAACUCAUACAGGUAGUUUUAAUAACUUAUGUGCAUUUCUGUUGUCUUAAUACGUUUCUUAGCUUUAUCAGUAAUGUU